CUGACAGCCUCUCGAGGCACACCAGUGUGCCGCGGCAAAAAAAUAAAAAUAAAACUGCAUUAGACGUAGAAAAUGAUCAAAUCCCUAAUAACAAGUCUGGGAGGUUUACAGAGUUAGCUAGUUUGUUUUUAGUAAUUUUGCAACAGCAGACAGGAUCUCCGUGGAGGAUGUCUUGCUUGCCCGCUCUCCUCUUGAUGAGGUAGCAGGGAGAAGACGGUAAAAGGAUCCACAGACCCACCACAGCCACUGGACACUAACCAGCAUAUCCAAACUGUGUCAAAAUGUGGAAGCUCACUCUAACUGCAGGUCUCUGUUUGAUCAUCGCCAGCUUGGGUGUACCUGGCUUUGCGAGAAAUCUUCGAGUUUACAAAACAUCACAUGGAAACCCUUGUUAUGGAAGACCAGAUGGGCUGUACCCCAACCCCAAUGAUCAGCACUCGUAUUACAACUGUGUUUGGGGACGCACCUACAUCCAAAAGUGCCCAGAACAUUUGGUGUAUAGGCAUUCCAUAACUGCUUGUUACUAUCCUGGAUCACCUGUAACAGGCAGUUCAUCUCAUGAAAUCUGUGAUCCCAUGACUACAACCAGUACUCCCACCAUGACUCCCAUGACCACCAGUCGCCCCACCACAACAAUUGCAACAACAACUCACCGUACGACAACAACAAACACGCCCACUACCACCACUAACACCCACCCAGAGCCACCUACUAAAUAAUUUGCACACCUCUGUUAUGGAAAGGCAGGCAGAUACUUUCCUCAUCCAACGGACCCAACACAAUAUAUCCAAUGUGCCAUUCAAGGAAGAGUUUUCAUCCAGUCGUGUGCAGCGGGUUUGACCUUUAAACCGGCAUUCAGUGUCUGUACUUAGAAAUGCGGUCAAGUGUGUCAAUACAUCUGGCCGUGUAUUUACAAUUGUUGUCUUAUAAUUCAAGGUAAUCUAAAUCAGUCUGGUGUGCCUCUUGUUUUUCCACUGCCU
ensembl:lncRNA